AACGCGAAGAACCUUACCUGGGUUUGACAUGGAUCGGGAGUGCUCAGAGAUGGGUGUGCCUCUUUUGGGGUCGGUUCACAGGUGGUGCAUGGCUGUCGUCAGCUCGUGUCGUGAGAUGUUGGGUUAAGUCCCGCAACGAGCGCAACCCUUGUUCACUGUUGCCAGCACGUUAUGGUGGGGACUCAGUGGAGACCGCCGGGGUCAACUCGGAGGAGGGUGGGGAUGACGUCAAGUCAUCAUGCCCCUUAUGUCCAGGGCUUCACGCAUGCUACAAUGGCUGGUACAGAGAGUGGCGAGCCUGUGAGGGUGAGCGAAUCUCGGAAAGCCGGUCUCAGUUCGGAUUGGGGUCUGCAACUCGACCUCAUGAAGUCGGAGUCGCUAGUAAUCGCAGAUCAGCACG
rnacentral:rRNA from 1 species